rnacentral:tRNA from 1 species
GCCUUCUUGGCGCAGCCAGCAGCGUGUCAGUCUCAUAAUGUGAAGAUCCUGGGUUAGAACUUCAGAGAGGGUA